rnacentral:rRNA from 1 species
UGACCCAAUGCCGAACUCAGAAGUGAAACGCCGUAGCGCCGAUGGUAGUGUGGGGUCUCCCCAUGUGAGAGUAGGGAACUGCCAGGCA